GUUGUUCUUUCCAACUUGCUUCGAAGACCAUUGGUUUGUAUUCAUAGUCGAUCUAAAGGACAGAAAGUAUGUCAUCCUUGACUCUUUGCAUAAGCAAAAUGAUGAUUUUCAAGUUUUUAUUCGUGAAAGAUUGAGAUCAUCUUUUCAGCAUCACUGGGAGAAGUACAUGCAGGCGGACAUGGGUUUCAAUGAUUUUGAUUUUGUAUACCCUGCCGUCCCCGAACAACCUCUUGAUAACAACACCGAUUCCGGGAUAUAUGCAAUGAUGUUCAUUGAACACUGGACCUCACGAAUAUCUGCUCUGCGUUAUACAUUCAGUCAGAAGGACAUUCCAAAUAUAAGGAUCAAGAUUGCCAAUGAUUUGGUUUUCCAACC